AAGGAAUAUCCUAUCGUUCCUACAACUCCUAUUAAUAGACCGUAGAAUACUAAAUCGUUAUCUAAAUUAUUAUUUAAUACUUUAAUAAGUAAUGUCAUUUUUUAUUUUUUAUAUUUUUUUAUAUAUCUCUUAAGUUUUACUAAUCUACUUUUUAUUUGUAUUUAAUAUUAUAAAUUUUAUAAUAUAUAACUUAUUAGUAUUAAUACUCUAUGAUAUAUUAUAUUUUUAUAUAAAAAAAUUAUAAAAAUUAUAUAUCUAAAGUAUCCUAAGAUUCACCUUAUACAAUUAUUUCAUAUAUUUUAAUAAAUUAUAAUUAUUUAUUAAAAUAUUAAAAUUUUAACUAUAUUUAUAGUUUUUUUUUUAGUUUUAUUAACUUUUUUUAUUUAUGUGAUAAUUAUUAAUGAUUUAAUUAAAAAUCUUGUUCUAUUGUUGAACUAAGAGAACAUAUUAAUUUAAAUUUAAAUUAUCUAAUAUUGUCUUAUUUACUAUUUAAAACAAAAAUUUUUUAUUCAUUAAAUUCAUUAACAGAGUAAAAUGAAAUUUUAUUUUCUUAUUUUUAUUUUUUAUUAAAUUUCUGAUAUAAGUAUUUAUGUUUAAGAUAAAUACUCAUACAUUUACAUGUAUGUUGGGACUAUAUCUUAUUAAUUUAAGUAAUAAAAUUUACUCAAAUGAUUUCAAGUAAAAAUAGUUCUGUUAUCGUUCAUACAAGAUUUUAUUAAAAUAAAAAUAAUUUCUUCAAUAUUUGAUGUAUGUUUAUAUUGACUAGAUUUCAAUUUAUUUUGAAAUUGAACUUUUAUUCAAUCUUUAAAAUCUAAAUAUUUACUACCAAAUAAUGAAAAUGUAUCUAAAUAAUUUUUAAAAUUAGAUUACCAUUUAAGUUGUUUAUUUUUACUCUAUAUUCUGAAAUAGGUUUAU
rnacentral:RNase_P_RNA from 1 species